GAUGAACGCUGGCGGCGUGCCUAAUACAUGCAAGUCGAGCGAACGGACGAGAAGCUUGCUUCUCUGAUGUUAGCGGCGGACGGGUGAGUAACACGUGGAUAACCUACCUAUAAGACUGGGAUAACUUCGGGAAACCGGAGCUAAUACCGGAUAAUAUUUUGAACCGCAUGGUUCAAAAGUGAAAGACGGUCUUGCUGUCACUUAUAGAUGGAUCCGCGCUGCAUUAGCUAGUUGGUAAGGUAACGGCUUACCAAGGCAACGAUGCGUAGCCGACCUGAGAGGGUGAUCGGCCACACUGGAACUGAGACACGGUCCAGACUCCUACGGGAGGCAGCAGUAGGGAAUCUUCAGCAAUGGGCGAAAGCCUGACGGAGCAACGCCGCGUGAGUGAUGAAGGUCUUCGGAUCGUAAAACUCUGUUAUUAGGGAAGAACAUAUGUGUAAGUAACUGUGCACAUCUUGACGGUACCUAAUCAGAAAGCCACGGCUAACUACGUG
rnacentral:rRNA from 1 species